rnacentral:rRNA from 1 species
GUUAAAAAGCUCGUAGUUGGAUUUCUGUGUGGGUGAGGCGGCCGGCCACUCGUGGUUGUAGCUAGUUAUCACCUGUACAUCUUGUCACAAGCCACGCUGGUCUUAAUUGAUUGGCGCUGGGGACUGACUCGUUUACUUUGAGAAAAUUAGAGUGUUCAAAGCAGGCUAUCGCCUUGAAUAUAUUAGCAUGGAGUAAUGAUAUAGGACUUUGGUUCUAUUUUGUUGGUUGUUCGAGAACCGAAGUAAUGAUUGAUAGGGACAGUUGGGGGCGUCAGUAUUCUGAAGCGAGAGGUGAAAUUCUUGGACCUUCGGAAGACUAACAACUGCGAAAGCAUUCGCCUAGGAUGUUCUCUUUAAUCAAGAACGAAAGUUGGGGGGUCGAAGACGAUCAGAUACCGUCGUAGUCUCAACUAUAAACUAUGCCAGCUAGGGAUUGGUGGACGUUUAUCUACGACUCCAUCAGCACCUUAUGA